rnacentral:rRNA from 1 species
CGUGUAGGCGGUUUAGUAAGUCAGACGUGAAAGCCCUCGGCUUAACCGAGGAAGUGCAUCUGAUACUGCUUUACUUGAGUGUCGGAGGGGAUGGCGGAAUUCCCGGUGUAGAGGUGAAAUUCGUAGAUAUCGGGAGGAACACCUGUGGCGAAGGCGGCCAUCUGGAAGACAACUGACGCUGAGACGCGAAAGCGUGGGGAGCAAACAGGAUUAGAUACCCUGGUAGUCCACGCUGUAAACGAUGAGUGCUAGAUGUUGCGGGUAUUGACCCCUGCAGUGUCAAAGCUAACGCGUUAAGCACUCCGCCUGGGGAGUACGGUCGCAAGAUUAAA